rnacentral:rRNA from 1 species
GACGAACGCUGGCGGCGUGCUUAACACAUGCAAGUCGAACGGAAAGGCCCUGCUUUUGUGGGGUGCUCGAGUGGCGAACGGGUGAGUAACACGUGAGUAUCCUGCCCUUGACUUUGGGAUAACUUCAGGAAACUGGGGCUAAUACCGGAUAGGAGCUCCUGCUGCAUGGUGGGGGUUGGAAAGUUUCGGCGGUUGGGGAUGGACUCGCGGCUUAUCAGCUUGUUGGUGGGGUAGUGGCUUACCAAGGCUUUGACGGGUAGCCGGCCUGAGAGGGUGACCGGCCACAUGGGGACUGAGAUACGGCCCAGACUCCUACGGGAGGCAGCAGUGGGGAAUAUUGCACAAUGGGCGGAAGCCUGAUGCAGCAACGCCGCGUGCGGGAUGACGGCCUUCGGGUUGGAAACCGCUUUCGCCUGUGACGAAGCGUGAGUGACGGUAAUGGGUAAAGAAGCACCGGCUAACUACGUG